AUUCCUACCGAUUUUCAGCG
rnacentral:miRNA from 1 species